rfam:Acyrthosiphon pisum strain LSR1 Contig35727, whole genome shotgun sequence.
UCGGAGGAUUUUUUAAAAUCCACAAAUAGUUCAUAUUAUACAAUUU